GAUGAACGCUGGCGGCGUGCCUAAUACAUGCAAGUCGAGCGAACGGACGAGAAGCUUGCUUCUCUGAUGUUAGCGGCGGACGGGUGAGUAACACGUGGAUAACCUACCUAUAAGACUGGGAUAACUUCGGGAAACCGUAGCUAAUACCGGAUAAUAUUUUGAACCGCAUGGUUCAAAAGUGAAAGACGGUCUUGCUGUCACUUAUAGAUGGAUCCGCGCUGCAUUAGCUAGUUGGUAAGGUAACGGCUUACCAAGGCAACGAUGCAUAGCCGACCUGAGAGGGUGAUCGGCCACACUGGAGCUGAGCCACGGUCCAGACGCCUACGGGAGGCAGCAGUAGGGAAUCUUCCGCAAUGGGCGAAAGCCUGACGGAGCAACGCCGCGUGAGUGAUGAAGGUCUUCGGAUCGUAAAACUCUGUUAUUAGGGAAGAACAUAUGUGUAAGUAACUGUGCACAUCUUGACGGUACCUAAUCAGAAAGCCACGGCUAACUACGUG
rnacentral:rRNA from 1 species